rnacentral:rRNA from 1 species
AGAUUAAACAUAAGAGUUUGAUCCUGGCUCAGAUUGAACGCUGGCGGCAUGCUUUACACAUGCAAGUCGAACGGCAGCACGGAGAGCUUGCUCUCUGGUGGCGAGUGGCGAACGGGUGAGUAAUGCAUCGGAACGUACCGAGUAAUGGGGGAUAACUGUCCGAAAGGAUGGCUAAUACCGCAUACGCCCUGAGGGGGAAAGCGGGGGAUCUUAGGACCUCGCGUUAUUUGAGCGGCCGAUGUUGGAUUAGCUAGUUGGUGGGGUAAAGGCCUACCAAGGCGACGAUCCAUAGCGGGUCUGAGAGGAUGAUCCGCCACAUUGGGACUGAGACACGGCCCAAACUCCUACGGGAGGCAGCAGUGGGGAAUUUUGGACAAUGGGGGGAACCCUGAUCCAGCCAUGCCGCGUGUCUGAAGAAGGCCUUCGGGUUGUAAAGGACUUUUGUUAGGGAAGAAAAGCCGGGUGCUAAUACCACCUGGUGCUGACGGUACCUAAAGAAUAAGCACCGGCUAACUACGUGCCAGCAGCCGCGGUAAUACGUAGGGUGCGAGCGUUAAUCGGAAUUACUGGGCGUAAAGCGAGCGCAGACGGUUAGAUAAGUCAGAUGUGAAAUCCCCGAGCUCAACUUGGGACGUGCAUUUGAAACUGUCUAACUAGAGUGUGUCAG